rnacentral:rRNA from 1 species
AGCGAACGCUGGCGGCAGGCCUAACACAUGCAAGUCGAACGAACUCUUCGGAGUUAGUGGCGGACGGGUGAGUAACACGUGGGAACGUGCCCUUUGGUACGGAAUAACUCAGGGAAACUUGAGCUAAUACCGUAUGUGCCCUUCGGGGGAAAGAUUUAUCGCCAUUGGAGCGGCCCGCGUCUGAUUAGCUAGUUGGUGAGGUAAAGGCUCACCAAGGCUACGAUCAGUAGCUGGUCUGAGAGGAUGAUCAGCCACAUUGGGACGGAGACACGGCCCAAACUCCUACGGGAGGCAGCAGUGGGGAAUCUUGCGCAAUGGGCGAAAGCCUGACGCAGCCAUGCCGCGUGAAUGAUGAAGGUCUUAGGAUUGUAAAAUUCUUUCACCGGGGACGAUAAUGACGGUACCCGGAGAAGAAGCCCCGGCUAACUUCGUG